CCUACGGGCGGCAGCAGUGAGGAAUAUUGGUCAAUGGACGAGAGUCUGAACCAGCCAAGUAGCGUGAAGGAUGACUGCCCUAUGGGUUGUAAACUUCUUUUAUAUGGGAAUAAAAUGUUCCACGUGUGGGAUUUUGUAUGUACCUUAUGAAUAAGGAUCGGCUAACUCCGUGCCAGCAGCCGCGGUAAUACGGAGGAUCCGAGCGUUAUCCGGAUUUAUUGGGUUUAAAGGGAGCGUAGGUGGGUUGUUAAGUCAGUUGUGAAAGUUUGCGGCUCAACCGUAAAAUUGCAGUUGAAACUGGCAGGCUUGAGUACAGUAGAGGUAGGCGGAAUUCGUGGUGUAGCGGUGAAAUGCUUAGAUAUCACGAAGAACUCCGAUUGCGAAGGCAGCUCACUAGACUGCAACUGACACUGAGGCUCGAAAGUGUGGGUAUCAAACAGGAUUAGAUACCCGAGUAGUC
rnacentral:rRNA from 1 species